GAAUUUAGCGGCCGCGAAUUCGCCCUUAGAGUUUGAUCCUGGCUCAGAGUAAACGCUGGCGGCGUGCUUAACACAUGCAAGUCGAGCGAGAAAGCUCCUUCGGGAGUGAGUACAGCGGCAGACGGGUGAGUAACGCGUGAGAAUCUACCUUUUAGUGAAGAAUACCUUCGAGAAAUCGGAGUUAAUACUGCAUACGUCCUUCGGGAGAAAGCUGGCCUCUUUGCUGGCGCUAAAAGAUGAGCUUACGUACUAUUGGCUAGUUGGUGGGGUAAAGGCCUACCAAGGCGAUGAUGGUUAGCCGGCCUGAGAGGGUGUACGGCCACACUGGAACUUAGACACGGUCCAGACUCCUACGGGAGGCAGCAGUGGGGAAUCUUGCGCAAUGGGCGAAAGCCUGACGCAGCGACGCCGCGUGGAGGAUGAAGGUCUUCGGAUUGUAAACUUCUGUUAAGUGGGAAGAAAUGUUCAUUCCUAAUACGAAUGAAGGCUGACUGUACCAUUAGAGAAAGCACCGGCUAAACUCCUGCCGGCAGCCGCGGUAAUACGUGCUGGUGCAAGCGUUAUUCGGAAUCAUUGGGCGUAAAGGGUGUGUAGACGGCAUAUCAAGUCAACUGUUUAAUUCUCCGGCCUAACCGGAGGCCAGCGGUAGAAACUAAUGUGCUCGAGGGUGGAAGAGAGAAGUGGAAUUCUCGGAGUAGCGGUAAAAUGCGUAGAUCUCGAGAGGAACACCAAUGGCGAAGGCAGCUUCUUGGUCCAUUCCUGACGUUGAAACACGAAAGCGUGGGGAGCAAACAGGAUUAGAUACCCUGGUAGUCCACGCUGUAAACGAUGAUCACUAGACGUUAGUUCCGUUUUACGGAAUUAGUGUCGUAGCUAACGC
rnacentral:rRNA from 1 species